rnacentral:rRNA from 1 species
AGUGGAUGGGGAGCAACCUAGUUGUGCGUGUGUAAAGGUAGUGCCAAGAAAAGCGAUGAUCAUGUUGAAAAUCAAUUCCCGGUACCCGAAACCGACACAGGUGGGCAAGUAGAGAAUACUAAGGGGCGCGAGGUAACUCUCUCCAAGGAACUCGGCAAAAUGACCCCGUAACUUAGGGAGAAGGGGUGCCACCGAGAGGUGGUCGCAGUGAAGAGGCCCAGGCGACUGUUUAGCAAAAACAUAGGUCUCUGCAAACUCGAAAGAGGAGGUAUAGGGGCUGACGCCUACCCAGUGCCGGAAGGUUAAAGAAGUUGGUCAGUUUUAGGAUGAAGCUAGCGACUGAAGCCCCGGUGAACGGCGGCCGUAACUAUAACGGUCCUAAGGUAGCGAAAUUCCUUGUCGGGUAAGUUCCGACCCGCACGAAAGGCGUAACGAUCUGGGCGCUGUCUCGGAGAGAGGCUCGGCGAAAUAGGAUUGUCUGUGAAGAUACGGACUACCUGCAUUUGGACAGAAAGACCCUAUGAAGCUUUACUAUAGCUUGGAAUUGUGUUCGGGCUUCCUGUGCGCAGGAUAGGUGGGAGGCGUAGAAGGUAUUCUUGUGGGGAUACUGGAGCCAACGGUGAGAUACCACUCUCAGGAGGCUAGAAUUCUAACUUAAUUAAGGACAGUUUCAGGUGGGUAGUUUGACUGGGGCGGUCGCCUCCAAAAAGGUAACGGAGGCGUACAAAGGUUCCCUCAGACUGGUUGGAAAUCAGUCGAAGAGUGCAAAGGCAGAAGGGAGCUUGACUGCGAGAAGUACAGUUCGAGCAGGGUGGAAACACGGUCUUAGUGAUCCGACGGUGCUGUGUGGAAGGGCCGUCGCUCAACGGAUAAAAGUUACUCUAGGAUAACAGGCUGAUCUCCCCCAAGAGUUCACAUCGACGGGGAGGUUUGGCACCUCGAUGUCGGCUCAUCGCAACCUGGGGCGGAAGUACGUCCCAAGGGUUGGGCUGUUCGCCCAUUAAAGCGGUACGUGAGCUGGGUUCAGAACGUCGUGAGACAGUUCGGUCCAUAUCCGAUGUAGGCGUGAGAAUAUUGAGAGGAGCCUUCCUUAGUACGAGAGGACCGGGAAGGACGCACCGCUGGUGUACCUGUUAUGAUGCCAAUUGUAAACGCAGGGUAGCCAAGUGCGGAGAGGAUAACCGCUGAAAGCAUCUAAGUGGGAAGCCCACCUCAAGAUGAGUAUUCUGGUGUAAGGUCACGGGAAGACGACCCGUAAAUAGGCACGAGGUGGAAGUGCAGAGAUGUAUGAAGCCGAAGUGUACUAAUAGACCGUCGGCUUG